rnacentral:siRNA from 1 species
AGAAUGGGAAUUGUAUAUGGUUC